GAUGAACGCUGGCGGCGUGCCUAAUACAUGCAAGUCGAGCGAACGGACGAGAAGCUUGCUUUUCUGAUGUUAGCGGCGGACGGGUGAGUAACACGUGGAUAACCUACCUAUAAGACUGGGAUAACUUCGGGAAACCGGAGCUAAUACCGGAUAAUAUUUUGAACCGCAUGGUUCAAAAGUGAAAGACGGUCUUGCUGUCACUUAUAGAUGGAUCCGCGCUGCAUUAGCUAGUUGGUAAGGUAACGGCUUACCAAGGCAACGAUGCAUAGCCGACCUGAGGGGGUGAUCGGCCACACUGGAACUGAGACGCGGUCCAGACUCCUACGGGAGGCAGCAGUAGGGAAUCUUCCGCAAUGGGCGAAAGCCUGACGGAGCAACGCCGCGUGAGUGAUGAAGGUCUUCGGAUCGUAAAACUCUGUUAUUAGGGAAGAACAUAUGUGUAAGUAACUGCGCACAUCUUGACGGUACCUAAUCAGAAAGCCACGGCUAACUACGUG
rnacentral:rRNA from 1 species